AUGGGAGGCAGCAGUGGGGAAUAUUGCACAAUGGGUGAAGCCCUGAUGCAGCGACGCCGCGUGAGUGAAGAAGUAUUUCGGUAUGUAAAGCUCUAUCAGCAGGGAAGAUAAUGACGGUACCUGACUAAGAAGCCCCGGCUAACUACGUGCCAGCAGCCGCGGUAAUACGUAGGGGGCAAGCGUUAUCCGGAUUUACUGGGUGUAAAGGGAGCGUAGACGGUAUGGCAAGUCUGAAGUGAAAUGUCGGGGCUCAACCCCGGAACUGCUUUGGAAACUGUCAAACUAGAGUGCAGGAGAGGUAAGCGGAAUUCCUAGUGUAGCGGUGAAAUGCGUAGAUAUUAGGAGGAACACCGGUGGCGAAGGCGGCUUACUGGACUGUAACUGACGUUGAGGCUCGAAAGCGUGGGGAGCAAACAGGAUUAGAUACCCUGGUA
rnacentral:rRNA from 1 species